GGUAAUGAUGGCAGAGAGGUCACACCCGUUCCCAUACCGAACACGGAAGUUAAGCUCUCUAGCGCCGAUGGUAGUUGGGACUUUGUCCCUGUGAGAGUAGGACGUUGCCA
rnacentral:rRNA from 1 species